rnacentral:rRNA from 1 species
UACGUAGGGGGCAAGCGUUAUCCGGAUUUACUGGGUGUAAAGGGAGCGCAGACGGUCGUGCAAGUCUGAGGUGAAACCCCACCGCUCAACGGUGGGCUUGCUUUGGAAACUGUUCGACUAGAGUGCUGGAGAGGUAAGCGGAAUUCCUAGUGUAGCGGUGAAAUGCGUAGAUAUUAGGAGGCACAUCGGUGGCGAAGGCGGCUUACUGGACAGCAACUGACGUUGAGGCUCGAAGGCGUGGGGAGCAAAC